GAUCCAGAAUGCAGCAGGGAUGAGGGCUGGCCAGCUCAAGAGCCAUUUUACCAGCUUAACAUCCUCAGUGGAAAAAGUAAACUUACCCUCUCCUUAGUGGCCCGGGCCGAAAAUCCUGGUAACCACACCUGUGGAAAGCCCAUCUGUUCAGACUAAGAAUUCAUGUUAGUAUGUCAGGCAGCAGGUGGGCUCUUACCCGGGAGGAAAUAAAUAGCCCGACACGGGAUUCUGAUGAUCAUAGAGGAAGGAAGUUUUCCUAAGGAAAUUGCUAGCUGAUGCAGAGGAAGACCAACCAGCAACUAUCCAUGCAUAAGUCACCACUGUGAACAUCCCAGAACCUGAGGGUGAGGUGGAAGCACCUCCCUUGACCAUAAAGACUGAGAAGGACCACAUUAGAAGGACAGCUAGACGACACGUCUCAGUUUCCUUUGCAGUCUGUGUGGUCACGUGACUGAAUUCUCAGCAAUGGAAUGUUUGCAUAUGAAGAAGGAAUCUGCAUUUGUAAGCACCUGGGAGAUAUGAGCAGGAUAUAGAGAGAACAGACAUUAAGAAAUAUUGGUCCAACGAUACAUUACAUUAAGAAAUGUACCAUCUGAGAGACUACCGCACAACAAUGGAGACCUAGGAUAUCAGUGAGGUAGUGCCAGAAGAAGUAGCAUGGGUGAUUUCAGUCAUAAAAACCUCUUCUUUUU
rnacentral:lncRNA from 1 species